rnacentral:rRNA from 1 species
GACGAACGCUGGCGGCGUGCUUAACACAUGCAAGUCGAACGGAAAGGCCCUGCUUUUGUGGGUUGCUCGAUUGGCGAACGGGUGAGUAACACGUGAGUAACCUGCCCUUGACUUUGGGAUAACUUCAGGAAACUGGGGCUAAUACCGGAUAGGAUCUCCUGCUGCAUGGUGGGGGUUGGAAAGUUUCGGCGGUUGGGGAUGGACUCGCGGCUUAUCCGCUUGUUGGUGGGGUAGUUGCUUACCAAGGCUUUGACGGGUAGCCGGCCUGAGCGGGGGACCGGCCACAUGGGGACUGAGAUACGGCGCAGAAGGCUACGGGAGGCAGCAGUGGGGAAUAUUGCACAAUGGGCGGAAGCCUGAUGCAGCAACGCCGCGUGCGGGAUGACGGCCUUCGGGUUGUAAACCGCUUUCGCAUGUGACGAAGAGUGAGUGACGGUAAUGGGUAAAGAAGCACCGGCUAACUACGUG